rnacentral:lncRNA from 1 species
AGAGGUGAGGAGCCCCUCCGCCGGGCAGCCGCCCCGUCUGAGAAGUGAGGAGCCCCUCCACCCAGCAGCCGCCCCGUCUGGGAAGUGAGGAGCAUCUCCACCCGGCAGCCCCCCCGUCCGGGAGGGAGGUGGGGGGGGUCAGCCCCCCGCCCGGCCAGCCGCCCCAUCCGGGAGGUGAGGGGCUCCUCUGCCCGGCCGCCCCUACUGGGAAGUGAGGAGCCCCUCUGCCUGGCCAGUCGCCCCGUCCAGGAGGGAGGUGGGGGGGUCAGCCCCCCGCCCGGCCAGCCGCCCAGUCCGGGAGGUGAGGGGCGCCUCUGCCCGGCCGCCCCUACUGGGAAGUGAGGAGCCCCUCUGCCCGGCCAGCCGCCCCGUCCGGGAGGGGGGAGGGGGGGUCAGCCCCCUGCCCGGCCAGCCGCCCCGUCCGGGAGGGAGGUGGGGGGGUCAGCCCCCCGCCCGGCCGGCCGCCCCGUCCGGGAGGUGAGGGGCGCCUCUGCCCCGCCGCCCCUACUGGGAAGUGAGGACCCCUCUGCCCAGCCAGCCGCCCCGUCCGGGAGGGAGGUGGGGGGGUCAGCCCCCCGCCCGGCCAGCCGCCCAGUCCGGGAGGGAGGUGGGGGGAUCAGCCCCCCGCCCGGCCAGCCGCCCCGUCCGGGAGGGAGGUGGGGGGGUCAGCCCCCCGCCCGGCCAGCCGCCCAGUCCGGGAGGGAGGUGGGGGGAUCAGCCCCCCGCUCGG